AACCCUGUUUCUCUAAAAGGGAAGAAGCGGACCUCGGGACUUUACCUCGCCGCCAUUUUCUAACCCGGGGUGAAAAAAGGAAACCAAGUGAACAUCACCGGGGUCAGUAUUCCUCCCUAAUUCGGACCACCAUCACCACAGCGGGUCAGCAUCGUGCACUCAACGUUACAUCCGCAUGAUGCCUGCCCAUACCAUAACCCCACCACCACCAUGGGCCACUCCAUCCACAACAUUGGCAUCAGCAAAGCGCUCACCCACACGACGCCACACACGCUGUCUGCCAUCUGCCCUGAACAAUGUAAACCGAGAUUCAUCCGUGAAGAGAACACCUCUCCAACGUGCCAGACGCCAUCGAAUAUGUCUGCAGAUUUGGCCACAGAUCACGUGAACGGGAACGGCACCGAGGAGCCCAUGGAAACCAUGGCAACCGUGACCCGCUCCGAACAUUUUCAGGCUCUGCUGGACGCCGGCUUGUCGCAGAACGUAGCUGAGAAGCUGGACGAGCUUUAUGUAGCAGGCCUGGUGGCUCACAGCGACCUGGACGAGCGCGCCCUGGAGGCUCUGAAGGAGUUCAACGAAGACGGGGCGCUGCAGGUUCUGGUCCAGUUCAAGGAGAGCGACCUAUCCCACGUUCAGAAUAAAAGUGCCUUCCUGUGCGGGGUGAUGAAGACGUACCGGCAGCGGGAGAAGCAGGGCACCAAAGUGUCUCCGGCUUCCAAAGGUCCAGACGAGGUGCGGAUCCGGGAGCUGCUGGACAGAACCGGCUACACGCUGGACGUCACCACGGGCCAGAGGAAGUACGGCGGCCCGCCGCCGGACGCCGUCUAUGCCGGGCCGCAGCCCACAGUGGGAACCGAGAUCUUCGUGGGGAAGAUUCCCCGCGAUCUGUUUGAAGACGAGCUGGUUCCUCUCUUCGAGAAGGCCGGGCCCAUCUGGGACCUGCGGCUGAUGAUGGACCCGCUCAGCAGCCUGAACCGCGGCUACGCCUUCGUCACUUUCUGCGCCAAAGACUCCGCCCAGGAGGCGGUCAAGCUGUGCAAUAACUUCGAGAUCCGGCCCGGCAAACACAUCGGCGUCUGCAUAUCUGUGGCCAACAACAGGCUGUUUGUCGGUUCCAUACCCAAGAGCAAAACCAAGGAGCAGAUCGUGGAGGAGUUUUCUAAGGUCACAGAGGGUCUCAGUGAUGUCAUCCUCUACCACCAACCCGACGACAAGAAGAAGAACCGCGGUUUCUGCUUCCUGGAGUACGAAGACCACAAAACGGCGGCGCAGGCCCGGCGCCGGCUCAUGAGCGGAAAGGUCAAGGUCUGGGGCAACCUGGUGACGGUGGAGUGGGCCGACCCCAUCGAGGACCCCGACCCGGAAGUUAUGGCCAAGGUGAAGGUCCUGUUUGUGAGGAACCUGGCCAACGGCGUCACAGAGGAGAUCCUGGAGAAAUCCUUCAGCCAGUUUGGGAAGCUGGAGCGAGUGAAGAAGCUCAAAGACUACGCCUUUGUCCACUUCGAGGAGCGGGACGGAGCCGUGAAGGCGCUGGAGGAGCUGAACGGGACGGAGCUGGAGGGAGAGCCCAUCGAAAUAGUUUUUGCCAAACCGCCUGAUCAGAAAAGGAAGGAGAGGAAAGCCCAGAGACAAGCUGCCAAGUCCCAAAUGUAUGAUGAUUAUUACUACUACUCGCCGCAGCCCCACAUGCCCCUCCCCUCCAGGGGGCGGGGCCGCGGCGGCCGGGGGGGCUACGGCUUCCCCCAGGACUACUACAGCUACGACGAUUACUACGACUACUACGGCUACGACUACCACAACUACCGCGGCGGCUACGACGACCCCUACUACGGCUACGACGACUUCCAGGCCCCGGGCCGGGGGCGGGGCGGCGGCAGGGGCCCGAGGGGUGGAGCCUCGCCGGUCAGAGGUCGCGGCGGCGCCGGGGCUCCCCGAGGCCGGGCCGGCUUCUCGCAGCGCGGCGUCGGGCCCGGGCCGGGCCGCAGCGGGCGCGGACCAAGAGGAGGCGUGGCGGCGGCGCGCGGGCGCGGCGGGGUACGUGGUGCGCGGGGCGGCCGCGGUGGAAAUGUGGGAGGAAAGCGGAAAGCUGACGGCUACAGCCAGCCAGAUUCCAAGCGCCGCCAGACCAAUAGUCAGAACUGGGGCUCCCAACCCAUUGCUCAGCAGCCGCUCCACUGCGGGGACCAUGCUGCAGGAAAAAGGGCCGGAGGUCGCCGCCGACGAGUCGCUGUGACCGGGCCGGGCGGCGCCCCCUGCUGGAGGGAACGGUAAGGUCAGCUGACUCAGAGGAUCCUCCGGCGCUGGACGGGAUCCUUCUGGACCGAGCUUUGCUGCUAGCUUGGAGUGAACUCUGGUUUUGUUCUGAAGACGGACUCGAUGAUCUGGGAUCAGGGCCGAGCCGUUCCAACCGACCGCUAACUACCUCAGAGGACCCAGAGUCCGGGCCGGACGGCGCCGGAGGUUCGCCCCGGCCCAGGCCGUCCUCAGGCCUCCGGUUCUGACCCAGAGGAGGGGACCCGACGGACCCCUGCGUGGAGUCCAUCAUCAGGCGCCAAGCAGAACUCUAGAACCGGACCGGUGGUCAGAACCGGGUUCUGGUUCCUGAUGAUCCGGCUCCACUCUGCCGGUCGUUGGUUCCCCAGCUGAGGACGGGGUUGCCAUGGCAACAGAUGGAGCUGCAGCCCGAAGGUCGUCGGGUUCAUUCGGUUCAGUUCCGGAACGGUCACGACCCGACCCACACUCCCUCUGCAGACCCGGUUCCGGUCCAGAGCCAGGACCGUUGGGUCAGAAAGCUGGCCUGGCUUCCUUUGGUGGCUCAGAGGUGAAAGGCAUUGUGGGAGAUGUAGUCGAGCACAGGAUCAUGUUGCUGCUUUUCUGCCAUUAAACAGAAUCUGGAUCGAGGUUCUGGUCGGAUUCUGAGAUGAUGAGCUGCUUUCAGAGAGUUAUCUGAGUGUGUGUGUUUCUGUGUGUGUGUGUGUGCACUCCUGCAGAUUAAAUGUUUUCUACUGUACAUGAUGAACUUAUUUUUCUAAUAAACUUGUUAACAGUCA